rnacentral:rRNA from 1 species
GAUGAACGCUGGCGGCGUGCCUAAUACAUGCAAGUCGAGCGAACAGAUGAGGCGCUUGCUCCUCUGACGUUAGCGGCGGACGGGUGAGUAACACGUGGAUCACCUACCUAUCAGACUGGGAUCACUUCGGGACACCGGAGCUAAUCCCGGAUAAUAUAUUGAACCGCAUGGUUCAAUAGUGAAAGUCGGUUUUGCUGUCACUUAUAGAUGGAUCCGCGCCGCAUUAGCUAGUUGGUAAGGUAACGGCUUACCAAGGCAACGAUGCGUAGCCGACCUGAGAGGGUGAUCGGCCACACUGGAACUGAGACACGGUCCAGACGCCUACGGGAGGCAGCAGUAGGGAAUCUGCCGCAAUGGGCGAAAGCCUGACGGAGCAAGGCCGAGUGAGUGAUGAAGGUCUUCGGAGCGGAAAACUCGGUUAUUAGGGAAGAACAAAUGUGGAAGUAACUAUGCACGUCUUGACGGUACCGAAUCAGAAAGCCACGGCUAACUACGUG